rnacentral:rRNA from 1 species
CAGAUGACCCCAGGUCCGAUUACUUAGUUGGUGAGGUAAUGGCUCACCAAGGCCACGAUCCCUACCUGGCCUGAGAGGAUGAUCAUUCACACUGGAACUGAGACUCGGUCCAUACUCCUACCGGAGGCACCACUGGGGAAUAUUGGACAAUGGGCGAAAGCCUGAUCCAGCCAUGCCGCCUGCGUGAACAACGUCUUCGGAUUGUAAAGCACUUUAACUUGGGAGGAAGGGCAGUUACUUAAUACGUGAUUGUUUUGACGUUACCGACAGAAUAAGCACCGGCUAACUCUGUGCCAUCCUCCGCGGUAAUACACAGGGUGCACGCGUUAAUCGGAAUUACUGGGCGUAAACCGCGCGUAGGUGGUUACUUAAGUCGGAUGUGAAAUCCCCUGGCUCAACCUGGGAACUGCAUUCAAAACUGACUGACUAGAGUAUGGUAGAGGGUGGUGGAAUUUCCUGUGUAGCGGUGAAAUGCGUAGAUAUAGGAAGGAACACUCGUGGCGAACGCGACCACCUGGACUGAUACUGACACUGAGGUGCGAAAGCGUGGGGAGCAAACUGGAUUAGAUACCCUGGUACUUCCACGCCGUAAACGAUGUCAACUAGCCGUUAGGAGCCUUGAGCUCUUAGUGGCGCAGCUAACGCAUUAGUUGACCGCCUGCGGAGUACGGCCGCAGGUUAAAUCUCACAUCGACUUGACGGGGGUUCGCACAAGCGGUGUAGCAUGUGGUUUUACUUCGAAGCCACGGCAACCAUCCUUACAGGCCUUGACAUUCCAAUUGAACUUUCCCAGAGAUGCAUUGGUCGCCUUUCAGAAAUUCGAGACAUGUGCUGCAUGGCCUGUCGUCGCUCGUGCCGUAGACAUGUUCGGCUAAGUCCGCUAACGACGCGCAUCCCUUGUCCUUUACCUUACCAUCACGUUAAUGGUGGGAACUCUCAAGGACACUGGCCGGGUACACCAA